AGUCCAAGCCCAGGGCAUGUGAAGGUAAUUGAGCUCCUGGCUUGUCAAGCUGCAAAAAUAGCUCACACUGAGGACCUGACAAAAGCUUACCUACUGCUCUGCAGUCCGGCACCUUCACUCGUCACCCUGGGGCUAUCAGCAAGCUCCACGGAAUUGAAGAAGUGCUGUCUGCCUUAUCUGUUAUCAGCCAGUGGAUGACCAUGAAAUUCCAGGAGAAAUAUCACCAGAGGGGGUAUGGACCACAGAAGGAAGGAUGCGUCCCCCCACUGGACGUACUACCCCCCCCUCACACCCCACAGUAGGAGAAAUGAAUGGUAAAAUGCUGAUGAAUUUUCAUGAGGACUUGACUGGGGGGGGGAGGUAUGGAAAUUGCAGACAUAUGGGAAAUUUGGUGAACUGAAUGUUACACUGGAAAACAGAAAGAGAGAGAAACCCAAAUUGACAGAUUCAUUCCUCCUUCCUAAGAAGAGGAACUGAUAUGGAUUACUGGGCCAGCAUUUUUUCAGAACCAGAUUAGAAUCCAUUGCUAUUCAGCAGUGAAUUAUUUAUUGCAUUUAUAUGCCACCUUAUCUCCAAGGAGCUCAGGGUGGUAUGGUUUGGACUAUGUACUGGUCACAAGAUUUCCAUGUUUAUUUCAAUCUUAAGAGUGUUUGAUAGGAAUAACUACAUACAAUUAGCUGAGUGCUUGAUUGCAUUUCCUCCAUCCUUUCAUUGUUACCAUUUUGCACAAUGGAAGUACAGUGGUACCUCUACUUACGAAUUUAAUGCGUUCCAAACACACAUUUGUAUGUAGAACAAAAUUGUAAGUGGAAUCCCAUAGGAAUGCAUUGGGAGAAAAAAUUCGUAAGUCGAAGCAACCCUAUCUAAAAAUUCGUAAGUAGAAAAAAUCCUAUCUAAACUGCAUCCAAGAUGGCGGACGGAGCUCCAUUCGUAAGUAGAAACAUUCGUAAGUAGAGUUAUUCGUAAGUAGAGGUACCACUGUAAUUAUAUAACCUCUUUCCUUUCCUUUUUUUGGGGGGGGGGUCUUCUUUGGUCAUUUGUGCAAACUUCAGGAGAUACUGUUCACUGACUCUCUCUGUCUUUUCCCUUCCGAGUAUUUGUUUGGGAAUAGGUGCAUCACAACAUACUGACCAGCAGUUGCAUGAAAACAGGUGACAGGGAGGAGCCCACAGCUCAGCAGCAGAGCACCUGCAUUGCACACAGAAGGUGCUACCAGGUUCGAUCCCUGGCAUCUCUAGCUAGAAGGAUCAGGGAGAAGGAGGAGGAGGAGGAGACUCUGGAGAGCCAUGGCUGGUUGGAAUAGACCGUCAUGGGCUGGAUGGACAACUACCGGUACUUUGGCAUCUAAGAAUUAACCAAAUCACAAGGGGGGGGAGGACCCCUACCCAAUCACUGUCCUGGCAAUCUUGCACCAUUGUGCACUCAGGUCCUGCUUUCAGGCUUCUCCUAAUGGGCAUCUGGUUGGCCACUGGGAGGAGAAGAUGCUGGACUAGAUGGGUCAUUGGCCUGACCCAGCUGCAGGGCUCUUGUGUCUUUCAGGAAGAGGUCUACCUGCUACCUGGUGCUUCCAGCUAGAGACGGCAGGGAUUGGAUAUUGGGCAAAGUCUGUGGUCCACCACUGAGCUAUGGACACCCCUGCCCCCCUUCCACAACUCACGGCUGCCUGGCCGACAAGGUGUUACUUAUCUUUUUCUUUUGCUGAUU